ACUCCUACGGGAGGCAGCAGUGGGGAAUAUUGCACAAUGGGCGCAAGCCUGAUGCAGCCAUGCCGCGUGUAUGAAGAAGGCCUUCGGGUUGUAAAGUACUUUUCAGCAGUGAGGAAGGUGGAUAUGUUAAUAGCAUAUUCAUUUGACGUUAGCUGCAGAAGAAGCACCGGCUAACUCCGUGCCAGCAGCCGCGGUAAUACGGAGGGUGCGAGCGUUAAUCGGAAUUACUGGGCGUAAAGCGCAUGCAGGUGGUUUGUUAAGUCAGAUGUGAAAGCCCGGGGCUCAACCUCGGAAUUGCAUUUGAAACUGGCAAACUAGAGUACUGUAGAGGGGGGUAGAAUUUCAGGUGUAGCGGUGAAAUGCGUAGAGAUCUGAAGGAAUACCGGUGGCGAAGGCGGCCCCCUGGACAGAUACUGACACUCAGAUGCGAAAGCGUGGGGAGCAAACAGGAUUAGAUACCCUGGUAGGCU
rnacentral:rRNA from 1 species